rnacentral:rRNA from 1 species
UACAGAGGUCCCAAGCGUUGUUCGGAUUCACUGGGCGUAAAGGGUGCGUAGGCGGUUUGACAAGUCUGAUGUGAAAUCCCGCAGCUUAACUGCGGAACUGCAUUGGAAACUGUUUGACUAGAGGAAUGGAGGGGAGACUGGAAUACUUGGUGUAGCAGUGAAAUGCGUAGAUAUCGAGAGGAACACCAGUGGCGAAGGCGAGUCCCUGGACAACACCUGACACUGAGGCACGAAAGCUAGGGGAGCAAACAGG